rnacentral:rRNA from 1 species
GGGCCUACGGGAGGCAGCAGUGGGGAAUAUUGCGCAAUGGGCGAAAGCCUGACGCAGCGACGCCGCGUGAGGGAUGAAGGCCUUCGGGUCGUAAACCUCUGUCAGGAGGGAAGAACCGCCAUGGUGCUAAUCAGCCAUG